CACGGGGGGAGCAAGCGUUGUUCGGAAUCACUGGGCGUAAAGGGCGUGUAGGCGGUCAGGUAAGUGGGACGUGAAAUGCCUCGGCUCACCCGAGGAGCGGCGUCCCAUACUGCUUGGCUUGAGUACGGGAGAGGAUGUGGGAAUUCCUGGUGUAGCGGUGAAAUGCGUAGAUAUCUGGAGGAACACCGGUGGCGAAGGCGGCAUCCUGGACCGGUAUUGACGCUGAGGAGCGAAAGCCAGGGGAGCAAACGGG
rnacentral:rRNA from 1 species